rnacentral:rRNA from 1 species
AACGAACGCUGGCGGCAUGCCUAACACAUGCAAGUCGAACGAGACCUUCGGGUCUAGUGGCGCACGGGUGCGUAACGCGUGGGAACCUGCACUUAGGUUCGGAAUAACUCCCCGAAAGGGGUGCUAAUACCGGAUAAUGUCUUCGGACCAAAGAUUUAUCGCCUUUGGAUGGGCCCGCGUUGGAUUAGCUAGUUGGUAGGGUAAAAGCCUACCAAGGCGACGAUCCAUAGCUGGUCUGAGAGGAUGAUCAGCCACACUGGGACUGAGACACGGCCCAGACUCGUACGGGAGGCAGCAGAGGGGAAUAUUGGACAAUGGGCGAAAGCCUGAUCCAGCAAUGCCGCGUGAGUGAUGAAGGCCGUAGGGUUGUAAAGCUCUUUUACCCGGGAUGAUAAUGACAGUACCGGGAGAAUAAGCACCGGCUAACUCCGUG